rnacentral:misc_RNA from 1 species
GAUGAAGAACGCAGCGAAACGCGAUAAGUAAUGUGAAUUGCAGAAUUUAGUGAAUCAUCGAACUUUUGAACGCACAUUGCGCCCCUUGGUAUCCCGAGGGGCAUGCCUGUUCGAGCGUCAUUUCACCACUCAAGCCUGGCUUGGUGUUGGGCGACGUCCCCUUUGGGGACGCGCCUCGAAACGCUCGGCGGCGUGGCACCGGCUUUAAGCGUAGCAGAAUCUUUCGCUUUGGAAGUCGGGGCCCCGUCUGCCGGAAGACCUACUCGCAAGGUUGACCUCGGAUCAGGCAGGGAUACCCGCUGAACUUAAGCAUAUCAAUAAGCGGAGGA